UCAUCAUUUUUUAACAGUUUCUCAUAACCAGAGAUGUGAAAGUUACUAAUGCCUCCCAAUGGGCUCUUUUACAUGUCAAACAAGUUUAGUUGUGGUUAACUUUGUCCAGUAAAUGAACAUAUGGACUUGAUUCUCAUGUACAUAGAUGUAGGAUUUAAAAAAGCACAACACAAGGCCCACAUUCAUGAAAACUGAAGUCCCCAGCAUCUGCUUGUCCAGAGAGCCAUCAGCAGCAGGUCAGAGGUGACUCUCUUCCUCUCUAUUGGUUCAUCUGUUUACAGUGACAGAGUAGAAUAGCUCAUUGUCUUCUGUGGUGUCACUGGGGUCUUAGACCAUCCGCUUUAAUAGUAAAGCAUUUAGAGUGAGAUUCGGUAAACAGAGAGGAGAAGAGAGCAUGGGACACUGGAGGGAAGAUGAAAGACGGAUGGAGAAUGAACACAAAAUAAGUAUGAAGGGACUGACACAAGAGACGAGAGCGGAGCCCAGGUGGUCCGUGUAAUCUGAUUCAGUUUUUUUCUUUCCAAGGUCCUUCAAAGUUAUUGUUCAUUUAUUUCAAGUUGUAGUGCUCUCCUUUGCUCUGAUGCCUGUUCAGGUACUGAUAGCACAAUGUGCUGACAGGGAGAAGAAAGAGUCCUUUGCAAUGUAUAAUGUUCUAUAUUUACUGCUGUGUCCAAAAUCACACUCUGUUUCCUAUAUAGUGUUGUCUAAACAGUAUGGAACGUCAGAAAUUUGAUUCACUUCAUAUUUACCUUUUUUGUGAACCCAGAUUUAUUGUGUGCAAGCAGUCUACAUGCAUCAGUGCUAUUUUGCCAAGUUUUCCAAGUUUCUAAAGUCUUCCAAAUCAAUCAAGGAUGUGUUUAGAAGUUGGACGUUUAUAUUAGUUAAUAUUUUAUAAUUUAGCUCAAUGCUCAAUCUUUUCUUGAUUCACUGAUUGAACUUCAGGAUUCUUUUGGUAAAUUGUUUGCGAAUGUUGUAAAUGUCUUUACUGAGACCAUUGAACAAUUGAAUGCAUCCUGUCUGAAUUAUUGUAUUUUAUAUUUUUUUUAAUUACAAUUUUACCAAACUCUUGAGCGGUAAUUUAGGUACGAGUUGUACCUUGGAGAUAGCAGCCCAGGGGCGUUAACAAGAUGACAACUAACUGGACUGAAUUGUCUUUGAAAGGUUGAUUUCAGUGAAUUCGUUUUUAUUCAUCCACUCAAAAAUCAUUAACAGUACAGUAAAGUGAGAUGGGAGAGGAUGUUGAACGGAGCAAGGUGAACGGAGACAGCGGCUCCUCUGUCAAAUGUCAUUGUCCUGAUGAAUUUGCCGUUUCUAAAAGAAGCGGCGCAUGAAUUAUGCAACACAACCUUCGUGCGCAUUUGCUUUCAUGUUACUUUUUUACGUGCCAACCUUCUGAACACAUUUCCGUCCAACAUGGAUGCUUGCUUAAAUGAGUGUACCGACAGAAAGUAAGGCUGUCCCAAAACCAAAGGUUUCUAAAUGCAUUUUAAUAGAUGUUUUGUGUAAAUAAAUAAUAUAAUAAAUAUUAUAUUGCUAUCUAAUUUGCAAGUAAAGGGAUGCCCAGUCCUAGUGAUUGAAUGUUUUCUAAUGAUUUAAAGAAAAUGAGUAGAGGCCUAAAGAACUUUCAAAAUAAUCAAAUCAACAAACCAGACGCUCUGUUGAUUCAUUUAUUCAAUCAGUCUCUUAUAAUCAUUCAUACUGCCAUUAAUUAACCAGCAGGAGUUGCUACAAAGCGAUUUAUUUUAAAAUCACGGCAUAUUAAACUAGCCUGGUAAUUGAGGCCCAGAGGAGAGUCUGGUCCUAUUCUGUGCAUUUGUCGCAAUAUUAAUCCUGUAAACAGAAUUACACACCAUUUACUCAUAUUAUCUGGCUCAAGGGGAUCAUGUCUGUGCUUGAACACUUUCCCACCAGCUAAGUAGACAGCAGAUAAAAUACCUUGUAUUACUUUGUAAUCUAUCCCCUGUGAGGUAGUUAUGAUUUGUUAAUUUGAUUUGUUAAUCAGAGUUUUACUAUGUCAUGGUGUAUGUAUUGAAAGUAACUCCCGGUCAGCUCAAGGUGACCUUAGUUUUUGCCAGUCAGGGCUUUCUGUUGCUUUUGAAUCCUCAGGAUAUGAGACUGCAACCCUCUACGGACACCUCGGCAAAUUAAUCGCCAUAUAGUAAUUUUUUUUGUUUACUCGCCACACUGAGAUAU